rnacentral:rRNA from 1 species
UACGGGGGGGGCAAGCGUUAAUCGGAAUUACUGGGCGUAAAGCGUGCGCAGGCGGUUAUGCAAGACAGAUGUGAAAUCCCCGGGCUUAACCUGGGAACUGCAUUUGUGACUGCAUAGCUAGAGUACGGUAGAGGGGGAUGGAAUUCCGCGUGUAGCAGUGAAAUGCGUAGAUAUGCGGAGGAACACCGAUGGCGAAGGCAGUCCCCUGGACCUGUACUGACGCUCAUGCACGAAAGCGUGGGGAGCAAACAGG